rnacentral:rRNA from 1 species
CACGAAGUUAGCCGGGGCUUCUUCUGUAGGUACCGUCAUUAUCUUCCCUACUGAAAGAGCUUUACAACCCUAGGGCCUUCAUCACUCACGCGGCAUGGCUGGAUCAGGCUUGCGCCCAUUGUCCAAUAUUCCCCACUGCUGCCUCCCGUAGGAGUCUGGGCCGUGUCUCAGUCCCAGUGUGGCUGAUCAUCCUCUCAGACCAGCUACUGAUCGUCGCCUUGGUAGGCCAUUACCCCACCAACUAGCUAAUCAGACGCGGGCUCAUCUAUCUCCGAUAAAUCUUUCCCUCUUGCGAGGCGUAUGCGGUAUUAGCACAAGUUUCCCUGUGUUAUUCCGCAGAAAUAGGUAGAUUCCCACGCGUUACUCACCCGUCUGCCACUCAUCCCGAAGGAUGCGUUCGACUUGCAUGUGUUAAGCCUGCCGCCAGCGUUCGUUCUGAGCCAGGAUCAAACUCU